rnacentral:rRNA from 1 species
GCUGGCGGCAGGCCUAACACAUGCAAGUCGAGCGCACCCUUCGGGGCGAGCGGCGGACGGGUUAGUAACGCGUGGGAAUGUACCCUUCUCUACGGAAUAGCCAUUGGAAACGAUGAGUAAUACCGUAUACGCCCUUCGGGGGAAAGAUUUAUCGGAGAAGGAUCAGCCCGCGUUAGAUUAGAUAGUUGGUGGGGUAAUGGCCUACCAAGUCUACGAUCUAUAGCUGGUUUUAGAGGAUGAACAGCAACACUGGGACUGAGACACGGCCCAGACUCCUACGGGAGGCAGCAGUGGGGAAUCUUAGACAAUGGGCGAAAGCCUGAUCUAGCCAUGCCGCGUGAGUGAUGAAGGCCUUAGGGUCGUAAAGCUCUUUCGCCAGGGAUGAUAAUGACAGUACCUGGUAAAGAAACCCCGGCUAACUCCGUGCCAGCAGCCGCGGUAAUACGGAGGGGGUUAGCGUUGUUCGGAAUUACUGGGCGUAAAGCGCACGUAGGCGGAUUGGAAAGUAUGGGGUGAAAUCCCAGGGCUCAACCCUGGAACUGCCUCAUAAACUCCUAGUCUAGAGUUCGAGAGAGGUGAGUGGAAUUCCGAGUGUAGAGGUGAAAUUCGUAGAUAUUCGGAGGAACACCAGUGGCGAAGGCGGCUCACUGGCUCGAUACUGACGCUGAGGUGCGAAAGUGUGGGGAGCAAACAGGAUUAGAUACCCUGGUAGUCCACACCGUAAACGAUGAAUGCCAGUCGUCGGGUAGUAUACUAUUCGGUGACACACCUAACGGAUUAAGCAUUCCGCCCGGGGAGUACGGUCGCAAGAUUAAAACUCAAAGGAAUUGACGGGGGCCCGCACAAGCGGUGGAGCACGUGGUUUAAUUCGAAGCAACGCGCAGAACCUUACCAACCCUUGACAUCCUGUGACAACUCGAGAGAUCGAGCGUUCCUUAGGGACACAGUGACAGGUGCUGCAUGGCUGUCGUCAGCUCGUGUUGUGAGAUGUUCGGUUAAGUCCGGCAACGAGCGCAACCCACAUCUUUAGUUGCCAGCAGGUUAAGCUGGGCACUCUAAAGAAACUGCCCGUGAUAAGCGGGAGGAAGGUGUGGAUGACGUCAAGUCCUCAUGGCCCUUACGGGUUGGGCUACACACGUGCUACAAUGGCAAGUACAGUGGGUUAAUCCCCAAAACUUGUCUCAGUUCGGAUUGGGGUCUGCAACUCGACCCCAUGAAGUCGGAAUCGCUAGUAAUCGCGGAACAGCAUGCCGCGGUGAAUACGUUCCCGGGCCUUGUACACACCGCCCGUCACACCAUGGGAGUUGGUUCUACCCGACGGCCGUGCGCU